UCCCUGGUGGUACAGUGGUUAGUACUUGGCGCUUUCACUGCCAAGGGCCUAGGUUUGAUCCCUGGUUGGGGAA